UUUUUUUUUUUUUUUUUAAAAAGAAAAUUGUUUUAAACUUGUAAGAAAUGGAAAGUUAAAACACAAUGCAAUUACAUCUGAACACAGGCUAGUCAAUGAACUUGGAAAUCAACCACAACCAGUGGAAUAACUGAAUAUUUUGCGAUUGUCGGGGUUCCUCCUAUCACAGGUUCUCUGCUAUUUUAGGCUGCUAGCCCAGUGGCUGAUUAUAACUGAACAUGCCAUGAGCGCAAGAAAAGGUAAUAAACACCCAAAAUCAUAAUAUAACAGUAAACAUUUGUAGCUCUCCAAUGUUUAAACAACGAAACAUACACGAACGAAUGGCCAUUAGACAGUGAUUCAAAACUUUUGGUUUGCAAAUUGAUAAAUAUAAAA
rnacentral:misc_RNA from 1 species